rnacentral:rRNA from 1 species
GACGAACCGUGCGAACGUUAUUCGGAUUCACUGGGCUUAAAGGGUGCGUAGGUGGGCAGGUAAGUCAGUGGUGAAAUCUCCGAGCUUAACUCGGAAACUGCCGUUGAUACUAUUUGUCUUGAAUAUUGUGGAGGUAAGCGGAAUAUGUCAUGUAGCGGUGAAAUGCUUAGAUAUGACAUAGAACACCAAUUGCGAAGGCAGCUUACUACACAACGAUUGACGCUGAGGCACGAAAGCGUGGGGAUCAAACAGG